AGUGAACGCUGGCGGUAGGCCUAACACAUGCAAGUCGAACGGCAGCACAGUAAGAGCUUGCUCUUACGAGUGGCGAGUGGCGGACGGGUGAGGAAUACAUCGGAAUCUACUUUUUCGUGGGGGAUAACGUAGGGAAACUUACGCUAAUACCGCAUACGACCUACGGGUGAAAGCAGGGGAUCUUCGGACCUUGCGCGAUUGAAUGAGCCGAUGUCGGAUUAGCUAGUUGGCGGGGUAAAGGCCCACCAAGGCGACGAUCCGUAGCUGGCCCGAGAGGAUGAAAGGCCACCGGGGGACAGAGACACGGACCAGGAUCAGCCGUGCGGCAGCAGUGGGGAAUCUGCAGAAAUGGACGGAAGUUGGAAGGAGCAAUGCAGAGUGAGUGAGGAGGGCCAGCGGAUCGCAAAGCUCUGGUAAUCGGGAAGAAAGGACAGCGUGCGAAUAGUGAGAAGGAGUGAGCGGAUCGGAAUAGAAAGCGACGGCGAGCUACGUG
rnacentral:rRNA from 1 species